rnacentral:rRNA from 1 species
AGUGAACGCUGGCGGCAGGCCUAACACAUGCAAGUCGAGCGGCAGCGCGGGGCAACCUGGCGGCGAGCGGCGGACGGGUGAGGAAUGCGUCGGAAUCUGCCUUUUUGUGGGGGAUAACGUAGGGAAACUUACGCUAAUACCGCAUACGACCUACGGGUGAAAGUGGGGGACCGCAAGGCCUCACGCAGAAAGAUGAGCCGACGCCCGAUUAGCUAGUUGGUGAGGUAAAGGCUCACCAAGGCGACGAUCGGUAGCUGGUCUGAGAGGAUGAUCAGCCACACUGGGACUGAGACACGGCCCAGACUCCUACGGGAGGCAGCAGUGGGGAAUAUUGGACAAUGGGCGCAAGCCUGAUCCAGCCAUGCCGCGUGUGUGAAGAAGGCCUUCGGGUUGUAAAGCACUUUUGUCCGGAAAGAAAUCCCAAAGGUUAAUACCUUUUGGGGAUGACGGUACCGGAAGAAUAAGCACCGGCUAACUUCGUG